rnacentral:lncRNA from 1 species
CCAGAUUUCUAACUUGAGUGUCAGAGGGCCCGUCGGAGCCAACUCCAGUCAACACUUAUUUUGUACAUCUCGCUAUAUCUGCGAACCUCAUUCGACUCUAUCCGCCCCGACUAGGGUUAGAAAUUUGCCACAACACAUCUCUUUUUUCUGAUAAAGGGAAAAAAAUUGAAGUCUAAGAAAAAUACACCAUUGGCAUCAAUCAUGAUUAGCCUGUGGAGAUCAACAGGG